rnacentral:rRNA from 1 species
GACGAACGCUGGCGGCGUGCUUAACACAUGCAAGUCGAACGAAGUGGCGAACGGGUGAGUAAUACGUGGGUAACCUGCCCUCCUUUUUGGGAUAAGACUUGGAAACGGGGUCUAAUACCGAAUAAAGGGGGAUGGGCUCGCGGCCUAUCAGCUUGUUGGUGGGGUGAUGGCCUACCAAGGCGGUGACGGGUAGCCGGCCUGAGAGGGUGACCGGCCGCAUUGGUACUGAGAUACGGCCCAGACUCCUACGGGAGGCAGCAGUGGGGAAUUUUGGACAAUGGGCGCAAGCCUGCUGCAUCCAUGCCGCGUGGCUGAAGAAGGCCUUCGGGUUGUAAAGGACUUUUGUUAGGAAAACGGUACCUAAAGAAUAAGCACCGGCUAACUACGUGCCAGCAGCCGCGGUAAUUC